rnacentral:rRNA from 1 species
GCGUGCCUAAUACAUGCAAGUAGAACGCUGAAGAGAGGAGCUUGCUCUUCUUGGAUGAGUUGCGAACGGGUGAGUAACGCGUAGGUAACCUGCCUUGUAGCGGGGGAUAACUAUUGGAAACGAUAGCUAAUACCGCAUAACAAUGGAUGACACAUGUCAUUUAUUUGAAAGGGGCAAUUGCUCCACUACAAGAUGGACCUGCGUUGUAUUAGCUAGUAGGUGAGGUAAUGGCUCACCUAGGCGACGAUACAUAGCCGACCUGAGAGGGUGAUCGGCCACACUGGGACUGAGACACGGCCCAGACUCCUACGGGAGGCAGCAGUAGGGAAUCUUCGGCAAUGGGGGCAACCCUGACCGAGCAACGCCGCGUGAGUGAAGAAGGUUUUCGGAUCGUAAAGCUCUGUUGUAAGUCAAGAACGGGUGUGAGAGUGGAAAGUUCACACUGUGACGGUAGCUUACCAGAAAGGGACGGCUAACUACGUGCCAGCAGCCGCGGUAAUACGUAGGUCCCGAGCGUUGUCCGGAUUUAUUGGGCGUAAAGCGAGCGCAGGCGGUUUGAUAAGUCUGAAGUUAAAGGCUGUGGCUCAACCAUAGUUCGCUUUGGAAACUGUCAAACUUGAGUGCAGAAGGGGAGAGUGGAAUUCCAUGUGUAGCGGUGAAAUGCGUAGAUAUAUGGAGGAACACCGGUGGCGAAAGCGGCUCUCUGGUCUGUAACUGACGCUGAGGCUCGAAAGCGUGGGGAGCGAACAGGAUUAGAUACCCCUGGUAGUCCACGCCGUAAACGAUGAGUGCUAGGUGUUGGAUCCUUUCCGGGAUUCAGUGCCGCAGCUAACGCAUUAAGCACUCCGCCUGGGGAGUACGACCGCAAGGUUGAAACUCAAAGGAAUUGACGGGGGCCCGCACAAGCGGUGGAGCAUGUGGUUUAAUUCGAAGCAACGCGAAGAACCUUACCAGGUCUUGACAUCCCGAUGCUAUUUCUAGAGAUAGAAAGUUACUUCGGUACAUCGGUGACAGGUGGUGCAUGGUUGUCGUCAGCUCGUGUCGUGAGAUGUUGGGUUAAGUCCCGCAACGAGCGCAACCCCUAUUGUUAGUUGCCAUCAUUCAGUUGGGCACUCUAGCGAGACUGCCGGUAAUAAACCGGAGGAAGGUGGGGAUGACGUCAAAUCAUCAUGCCCCUUAUGACCUGGGCUACACACGUGCUACAAUGGUUGGUACAACGAGUUGCGAGUCGGUGACGGCGAGCUAAUCUCUUAAAGCCAAUCUCAGUUCGGAUUGUAGGCUGCAACUCGCCUACAUGAAGUCGGAAUCGCUAGUAAUCGCGGAUCAGCACGCCGCGGUGAAUACGUUCCCGGGCCUUGUACACACCGCCCGUCACACCACGAGAGUUUGUAACACCCGAAGUCGGUGAGGUAACCUUUUGGAGCCAGCCGCCUAAGGUGGGACAGAUGAUUGGGG